AGCGGAAACUUAAGUAACAAAAGAUCUCACAAGAGCUCGAUAAAAACUUAUAAGGUCGAUAGAUUCUUAUCAAAGUUGAUACUCUGGACGUACCAAGAAGGUCUUUUGAUGAAGACGAUGCUCUUCUCUAAUCAAAAUAGGGUUUAGAGUUUGAUUUUUGUUUUAAACAUUAGAAAACCUUUAAAAAAAAAAAAAAAAAAAUAGGGUUUAGAGUACUCCUCUAAAUGAUAUAAAGCUUUGAAUGUAAUUGCAAUUUGAUAAUAAGAAUGAGUUGUGGUUUACAUUGACUAAAACUUACUAUUUAAACUACAAUAUAACCUCUAUAAAUUAAUAAUAUUGGAACUACACCAAAACUAUAAUUUUUUAUUAAUUUAUAUAGAUAUUAAUUUAUCGAUAUACUA
rnacentral:lncRNA from 1 species